CCAAUUGCAAUGGGCGAAUCAGAAAUCAGUAUUUGCAAAUAUUUUCCUCUUGCCUAAUGUCAGGUUGUUCAACUUGCAUAUUAUUUAAGCAAAAUGUUUUAAGAAAAUUUUGUGGCGAUCUCUGAUUGGCAUUGCCCGCGGAUGACAGAGGCAUUCAGAGCUAUUCACAGGUUCCCAUAAGAGAGAACGCACGAUUAACAAAGGUUGGCAGAUCUUGGGGUAUUCGCUUCUGAAAAUUGCAAGGCAGAGAAGAUGCGUGGCCUGCAUGCAAAUAGAACACGUCUUAUCUAUGUUUCCACAUUUUCUAUUAUAGUUAUUACAUCACCAGUUUCAGUGGGCCAAUGGCGCCUCUGAUACAGAGUAAGAAACUGAGAAUGCGGAGAAACUGAGAAUACGGUUUGAAGCAAUAAUUGUUUCAGUCUGCAACUUCUACCACUUUGUACAGAGACUCUGAUGCCCUCAGCACCAUGGGUUGUGGAUGCCGGUAACCGCAAUUUGUGCAUCUCUGACUCUUCCUCCCGUCCUAAACUUUUUAAUCAAUGCAGAAUUUGCUGGCAGACGUCAAAUCUAAAGCACUCAAAAAUGGGGGCAUUGCUACUGAUGAAAUUAGUGCCAAGGGUUUACCAACGACCAUUUAUGGACUGGCUAUGUGCAGGCCAACACUUGGCACAAAUAGCUAUGAUGUCUGUCUCUAGCACACUCCAAAGCUCGUAGAGCAGUGCUUUUCACUUCAGGAUGGAAGGGGCCUCGAUGCUGGUUGUUUUUUGCGUUAUUCCACAUAUGCUUUUUUCUUUGCUCCUUCUUCCUGUAAGUCUCUGCAAGUUUGUAUUUAACUGUAUUUGUAAGUUUUAUGUGAUUUUCCAGAAAAUUGUUCAAAAUUUUAACUAUUAAAAGGUCAGUUAUUAUUUUCAGACUGAUUUGCAGUCCGCACACUUUACUUAAUUUAAGUUAAUAGCACAUCAAUCUUCAAAGUAGUUCGCUGUGGAGGGCGGCGGGCUCCAGAACUAAAUGCGAGGCACUAGUGUUUGGAACAGUUAUGUAUUCAAACUUUUAUCUGCUAAUGACUUGUACUGGCUCUUCAUUUUUAUACAUUUGCAGCGUGGGAUUAAAGGUGUGCCAAAAAGGGAAGCAUUUCACUAGAUUUGAUCAGGCAGGGACUAUAGCGGAGGCCUCUUUUGUUAACUAGUAAUUAAUCCAAUUGCAAUGGGCGAAUCAGAAACGAGUAUUUACAAAUAUUUUCCUCUUGUCUAAUGUCAGGUUGUUCAACUUGCAUAUUAUUUAAGCAAAAUGUUUUAAGAAAAUUUUGUGGCGAUCUCUGAUUGGCAUUGCCCACGGAUGACAGAGGCAUUCAGAGCUAUUCACAGGUUCCCAUAAGAGAGAACGCACGAUUAACGAAGGUUGGCAGAUCUUGGGGUAUUAGCUUCUGAAAAUUGCAAGGCAGAGAAGAUGCGUGGCCUGCAUGCAAACAGAACACAUCUUAUCUAUGUUUCCACAUUUUCUAUUAUAGUUAUUACAUCACCAGUUUCAGUGGGCCAGCGGCGCCUCUGAUACAGAGUAAGAAACUGAGAAUGCGGUUUGAAGCGAUAAUUGUUUCGGUCCGCAACUUCUGCCACUUUGUACGGAGACUCUGAUGCCUCGGCACCAUGGAAUUUGCUGGCAGACGUCAAAUCUAAAGCACUCAAAAAUGGAGGCAUUGCUACUGAUGAAAUUAGUGCCAAGGGUUUACCAACGACCAUUUAUGGAUUGGCUAUGUGCAGGCCAACACUUGGCACAAAUAGCUAUGACGUUUGUCUCUAGCACACUCCAAAGCUCUUAGAGCGGUGCUUUUCACUUCAGGAUGGAAGGGGCCUCGAUGCUGGUUGUUUUUUGCGUUAUUCCACAUAUGCUUUUUUCUCUACUCCCUCUUCUUCCUUUAUUAUUUUCAGACUGAUUUGCAGUCCGCACACUUUACUUAAUUUAAGUUAAUAGCACAUCAAUCUUCAAAGUAGUUCGCUGUGGAGGGCGGCGGGCGCCAGAACUAAAUGCGAGGCACUAGUGUUUGGAUCAGGGUUAGAAAUGUGGAAGAAUUAUAUUGUUAGGUUCUUGCCGCUGCUGGACAAUGUUUGAUGUAGGACAUAAACAAGCAUGGAUAUCUGCAGGGAAAAAUAAAGAAGAAAAUGACAAAUUUGCUGGCACCUUAUUCAGAUAUCUCCCAGCAGAAUGAGUUUCUGUUUCUUACUGAUUCAAUCAUUUCAUCAUCAAUUGAUUCUGAACCCAAUUGUAGCAGCAGUUUGGAUUGUAUUAACGGUCUUGAUUUUCUGAUCUGAAAAAAAUGAUUUCUUAGUACUUAGGCUCGAACUCACAACAAGAGCAGCAAGAAGAUAAGUAUGAUGGAUUUCAGAACUGUCAAUUGACAGUUUUAUUAGAUUCUGAACCAGACUCUUUUGGAUGAACUUCUGGAGCCGUCAAUUUUAUUAGAUUCUGAAUCAGACUCUCUUUUGGAUGAGCUUGUGGAGCCUUAUACCAGAUUUCUAUGAUACAUAUUCGCUUACUUGGAAUUGUUUUAUGUAUUGUGAACACCUGUUUUGAUUUUGGGACAUUUAUUCCAUGCCCCAUUUUAAGAAUUAACUGUAUGCAAUGAUGUGAGCAUUAUCUUGAACAUCAUAUGAAAUUCUCUUUUUUUCUU